UACGGAAGGUCCGGGCGUUAUCCGGAUUUAUUGGGUUUAAAGGGAGCGCAGGCGGGUGCUUAAGCGUGCUGUGAAAUGUACCGGCUCAACCGGUGACGUGCAGCGCGAACUGGGUGCCUUGAGUGAGUGCGAGGUAUGCGGAAUUCGUGGUGUAGCGGUGAAAUGCUUAGAUAUCACGAAGAACCCCGAUUGCGAAGGCAGCGUACCAGUCCUUUACUGACGCUAAAGCUCGAAGGUGCGGGUAU
rnacentral:rRNA from 1 species